rnacentral:tRNA from 1 species
GGGAGUAGAUGGGUACUGGUGUGCCCUCUGGUCUUCAAAACCAGCACGAGGGGUUAGUAGCCUCUUGGGUAGGUUCGAUUCCUAUGUACUCCCGCCA